rnacentral:rRNA from 1 species
AGCGAACGCUGGCGGCAGGCCUAACACAUGCAAGUCGAACGAAGUCUUCGGACUUAGUGGCGGACGGGUGAGUAGCACGUGGGAACGUGCCUUUAGGUUCGGAAUAACUCAGGGAAACUUGUGCUAAUACCGAAUGUGCCCUUCGGGGGAAAGAUUUAUCGCCUUUAGAGCGGCCCGCGUCUGAUUAGCUAGUUGGUGAGGUAAAGGCUCACCAAGGCGACGAUCAGUAGCUGGUCUGAGAGGAUGAUCAGCCACAUUGGGACUGAGACACGGCCCAAACUCCUACGGGAGGCAGCAGUGGGGAAUCUUGCGCAAUGGGCGAAAGCCUGACGCAGCCAUGCCGCGUGAAUGAUGAAGGUCUUAGGGUUGUAAAAUUCUUUCACCGGGGACGAUAAUGACGGUACCCGGAGAAGAAGCCCCGGCUAACUUCGUGCCAGCCGCCGCGGUAACAC